CUCUAUCUCUAUAUUUUAUAUCUAUAUUUAUAUCUGUAUCUAUCUUAUAAAGGGACCAACUUGGAAGGAAAAUAAAAUCUCAGCCGGCCAUACAUGUUAAUCGGACGGCUCGGGGUCUUUCGUUCUCCCCUCCCCCCGAAAGAUAAUCACACCACUCCUUCCAUUUCUGUCCACACACCCUCUACUUGGUUAUGCCCCUGGCAGUGUGGUGCUCGUGUAUCGCCCGCGAGUGACGCCUCAACACCAGGCGCUAUGCCCCUGUGCUCUACUCUUUGGCAACCUGGAGCCGCCGUUCAUGCCCCCGCGCGGCACCGCUGCCCCUGUCGAGCGCCGCCAUCGCCUGCUGCUGCUGCUGCUGCUGUUAACUGUUCCCCCGCCGGACGCCGACGCGAGCGCGAUGUGGUUACAGCGCUCUGCAUCGGGUUCGGCGCCGGCGCCCGCGAAGACAGCAACAGCAGCAGCGAGGCCCCGCAUGAACAGAAGCCUUCGAACCCCUAUUUACGCGGAGCUGGCCGAGCAGCAGCAGGCGCGGGUGGAGCUCGGCCGUGCGCACGCGGCAGGCCGACGCUGCCUUGCUCGAGGUGAGGUGCCCGUGGGCACGGAUCCGGAGAGCGGAUUCCCAGCUAGCAUGGGUCUUGCCGCCGGCCGAUGUUGGAAGUCGAUUUACAUCCGGCUCUCUUGAGCUGGUGUUUGCUGCCUGCGGUCCUUCAACGCCUCUUGGCAAGGGGCUCCUCCGGCUCCAUGGCUUGGCUUCAACGGCGACGGUACUGCUUUCCAGAAAAAAAGAAGAUGGUGACGACGACGGAGAAGCAGGAGCCGGCAAAGACGACGGCGACAGCGCAGGGCUAGAGCCCGAGGCAUGCAGCGGCUCGCGGCGCUAUAAAAUUAACCAAAAUCCAUCGCCGGCGCCAGUUAACAAUUAACCCAUCCAUCAUGCAUACCAUCAAGAUGGUAAAGAGCUGGCUAGACUAGAUCACUAGUUUUGCGCUAAUUAACUCAAAUUUUUCGAAGCUUGACCGUCUUUAUGUUGAUCAAAAUAUGAAACGUCUACAAUUAUCAAAUCAUUACCAACAUAUUGACCAUAAAAAUCUCCAUGAUUUAGUAUGUCAUUUUACAAAAAAAAAGAGAGCACAGAGUAUGAAGCCAUGGUGGAUAACUAGACCUUCUUCGAAACGAAGCGAUCCAAGUGCAAGCCGCAAAGGCCUACAAUAAUUGUUCCAAGCUUGACCGUCUUUAUAUUGAUCAAAAUACACGAAACGUUUACAUAAUCGUUUGUAUGGUUACAUUUUGGGCUCCCUGUUACAUUUAUCGAUAAUCGUUUGUAUGGUUACAAUAAAAAAAACAUC